AUGCCAUUAAGGAAGUGGAUGCAGAGGGAAGUUGCUGAGAACCAUGUCUUUAAGAGGUUCUGGCUUGAACCAGUCAUUAAAUACAAGGUACAAAGUGCAAAGCUCUUGUUAAGAGCUCAUACUCCAAGUAAAGCAGAUCCCUAUCAAACUCCAUGGUGCCUGCUAGUCACAAGACAGCACAGACAUAUGGAGGAGACAUCUUUUUUCCUUCUGUGGAAAGUGAAAGCCAUCAGGAAAAAAAAUAAUACAUUUCUCAUUACUUUUUAAAAAGCUAGUAAUUUCUUGUUAUCUUUUAUGGCACUCGAUACUAUAUUAAUGGAAUAGUUUAAAGCAUCCCUCUGAAAGAUCAAAGGCAAAAUAUCCUUAUUUGUUAUAAGAGAAACAUAGGAACUUUGGUGGAGCCACUCGCUGCCUCCCCAGCAUAUCCAGAGUGAUUAUGCCCCAGACAUGCCUUUAUCUGUUGACUGUCUGUAAAAGAAGCCCAGAAAACUAAGAUGUAGAAUUUUCUGCAACUGGUAUCUAAAGUUAUAUGAGAUGAUUUGGAUUAGAAACAUACCAGAUGAGAAAACAGACUUAAUGACCACUUGUUAAAAUCUUGGUUACCUGAGAUAACAGCUGGGCACUGGCUGUAGCUAUACAGCAGAGGUAAUAAUAAUGUUUUCCUAUAUAUGUUCCAUUCUUGGUGUGCAGGCCCUUCACAUUCUUGAGUUGACAACCUGACAUGCUUCUGGACAGGUACAACAACUACCCUAUGCCACAUCUGCUCUGUGAUUACCUUCCUACUUCCAACCAAAGGCACCAAAGGACAGGCCAUGCAACCAGCAUCAGGACUGGCACUACGAGUCACAGCUUUUCCACUCAUGAUAGGGUUUACCCAUUGUUCUGACAAUUACUGUAAAUAAGUACUUAACAGUUAAUUAUUAGUUACCCUGUUAAGUUAGAAGUUUUUAGAUAGUAUCUCCUUCCUUCUGAAACAAGAAAACACUUAAUUCCUUUUUGUUCUUAUUUGAAAGAAUCAAUUAUUAUGACUGAACUGAUGAGCCUCCAGUCUCAGAGCUGUCCUUUAUCCAAAACUGUAAUGACUGAGCACAGGCACGCCCAAAGCUUAUGGGUGUGGAGCACACAUACAUACACCAUGGUAUUUGUAAAUCUUCCCUAAAGAGAACCCAAACAGCAAGGGAGCCAGAGGGAUUCGAGUGACACAUAGUGACAGCACGGAGAGGACACCAGUGUGUAUUCCUGCUCUGGGCUGGCUUCAGAGAUGCUUCCCUGAACCUGCUACAGCAUCCUACAGUCUGGGUGGACUGUCAGCAACAGCAUUGGGUUUAAUUAGCCUAAACCACUGCACUGUAAGUGGGUAUUUUGGAGUCUGAGUGACAGACAACACAGCCUCUGUUCCAGAGGCGGGGAAAAAAAGAGAUGUUAAGGUAGAUCCCCUUUCUCCCAUCAUCAGAGCCCUAAUUUUCUUAAGUUAUUUUUACAGAAGGCCAUUUAGCCCAGAAGCCAGCCUCACAGCAACUAAAUCACAAUUUUUUUCAGAAUUCAUCAGAAAGUGUUACUUCUGAUUCUUUUCUCACAGAAAACAUAAUUACUCCUAAAGAUUUUCCUCCUUAUUUUACAGUAAAGGUAUAACCUUCAGAAUUUAGUUCUGCUAGGUGCUUUUGUGUUACCUGUGCUAAGUACAUUACCAGCAUCAGACCGAGUUUCUGAUAAGGAGCUAUCAUCUGUAAAAUAUAACCUAAGUUAGAAUAGGUAUUCACAGUUGUUUAGAAACUGUUCAUAUAUUUCCAUGAGUCUUGGCUUUCCUCUACUUUUAUCAUAAUACACGGAUUUUACAUUGGUGAAGAGAGAUGUGUUUGUUGUUGCUGUACACAUAGAGCUGUGAGAAAACUGAGGGCAAAGUCUUGUCUCCAGAUGAGCACUGACAGCUGAAAAAAACCCUGAAGCUGAGCAUAUUGGCCUCAUUUAUAAACAGUGAGCAAAGCAUCACCAGGAACUACAUUUUACUACAAAAUAAAAAACUAUUUGUUCACCUGUGUGUCA
rnacentral:lncRNA from 14 species